rnacentral:rRNA from 1 species
UACAGAGGGUGCGAGCGUUAAUCGGAAUUACUGGGCGUAAAGCGUGCGUAGACGGUUAUUUAAGUCAGAUGUGAAAGCCCCGGGCUCAACCUGGGAAUUGCAUUUGAGACUGAAUAGCUAGGGUACGGUAGAGGGAAGCGGAAUUUCCGGUGUAGCGGUGAAAUGCGUAGAUAUCGGAAGGAACAUCAGUGGCGAAAGCGGCUUCCUGGACCAGUACCGACGUCAGGCACGAAAGCGUGGGGAGCAAACAGG